AUUGAACGCUGGCGGCAGGCCUAACACAUGCAAGUCGAACGAGUGGCGGACGGGUGAGUAAUGUCUGGGAAACUGCCCGAUGGAGGGGGAUAACUACUGGAAACGGUAGCUAAUACAGCAUACCAUCGGAUGUGCCCAGAUGGGAUGAGCUUGUAGGUGAGGUAACGGCUCACCUAGGCGACGAUCCCUAGCUGGUCUGUGAGGGUGACCAGCCACCCUGGAACUGAGACAGGGUCCAGACUCCUACGGGAGGCAUCGGUGGGGAAUAGUGCACAAUGGGCGCAGGCCUGAUGCGGCCAUGCCGCGUGUAUGAAGAAGGCCUUCGGGUUGUAAUGUACUUUCAGCGGGGGGGCGUUACCCGCAGAAGAAGCACCGGCUAACUCCGUGCCAGCAGCCGCGGUAAUUC
rnacentral:rRNA from 1 species